CCUCUUACGAAGGGCACACUGGACUGAUACAGAGAAGAGUCGCAUAGCCCCUAAGCAAGAAUGACAUGGAAAUCUGUGAAGGGUUCCAUAUAGAA
rnacentral:snRNA from 1 species